CAGUAGCCACGGUAACACGAAGGGGGCUAGCGUUGUUCGGAUUUACUGGGCGUAAAGCGCACGUAGGCGGACUUUUAAGUCAGGGGUGAAAUCCCGGGGCUCAACCCCGGAACUGCCUUUGAUACUGGAAGUCUUGAGUAUGGUAGAGGUGAGUGGAAUUCCGAGUGUAGAGGUGAAAUUCGUAGAUAUUCGGAGGAACACCAGUGGCGAAGGCGGCUCACUGGACCAUUACUGACGCUGAGGUGCGAAAGCGUGGGGAGCAAACAGGAUUAGAUACCCCCGUAGUCCCUGUCUCUUAUAC
rnacentral:rRNA from 1 species